CGAACGGGUGAGUAAUACAUCGGAACGUGUCCGCUCGUGGGGGACAACCAGCCGAAAGGUUGGCUAAUACCGCAUGAGUUCUACGGAAGAAANAGGGGGACCCGCAAGGGCCUCUCGCGAGCGGAGCGGCCGAUGACUGAUUAGCCGGUUGGUGAGGUAACGGCUCACCAAAGCAACGAUCAGUAGCUGGUCUGAGAGGACGACCAGCCACACUGGGACUGAGACACGGCCCAGACUCCUACGGGAGGCAGCAG
rnacentral:rRNA from 1 species